rnacentral:rRNA from 1 species
UACGUAGGGUGCAAGCGUUGUCCGGAAUUAUUGGGCGUAAAGAGCUCGUAGGCGGUUUGUCGCGUCUGCUGUGAAAACCCGAGGCUCAACCUCGGGCCUGCAGUGGGUACGGGCAGACUAGAGUGCGGUAGGGAGAUUGGAAUUCCUGGUGUAGCGGUGGAAUGCGCAGAUAUCAGGAGGAACACCAAUGGCGAAGGCAGAUCUCUGGCCGUAACUGACGCUGAGGAGCGAAAGCAUGGGGAGCGAACAGG